UGAUCCUGGCUCAGGAUGAACGCUGGCGGCGUGCUUAACACAUGCAAGUCGAACGAACCUUCGGGUUAGUGGCGGACGGGUGAGUAACGCGUGAGAAUCUGCCCUCAGGAGGGGGAUAACGGUUGGAAACGACCGCUAAUACCCCAUAUGCCGCGAGGUGAAAUGAAUUUCGCCUGAGGAUGAGCUCGCGUCUGAUUAGUUAGUUGGUGGGGUAAAGGCCUACCAAGACAUCGAUCAGUAGCUGGUCUGAGAGGAUGAUCAGCCACACUGGGACUGAGACACGGCCCAGACUCCUACGGGAGGCAGCAGUGGGGAAUUUUCCGCAAUGGGCGAAAGCCUGACGGAGCAACGCCGCGUGAGGGAUGAAGGCCUCUGGGCUGUAAACCUCUUUUAUCAAGGAAGAAGAUCUGACGGUACUUGAUGAAUAAGCCACGGCUAAUUCCGUGCCAGCAGCCGCGGUAAUACGGGAGUGGCAAGCGUUAUCCGGAAUUAUUGGGCGUAAAGCGUCCGCAGGCGGUCUGUCAAGUCUGCUGUUAAAGCGUGGAGCUUAACUCCAUUUCGGCAGUGGAAACUGACAGACUAGAGUGUGGUAGGGGCAGAGGGAAUUCCCGGUGUAGCGGUGAAAUGCGUAGAUAUCGGGAAGAACACCAGUGGCGAAGGCGCUCUGCUGGGCCAUAACUGACGCUCAUGGACGAAAGCCAGGGGAGCGAAAGGGAUUAGAUACCCCUGUAGUCCUGGCCGUAAACGAUGAACACUAGGUGUCGGGGGAAUCGACCCCCUCGGUGUCGUAGCCAACGCGUUAAGUGUUCCGCCUGGGGAGUACGCACGCAAGUGUGAAACUCAAAGGAAUUGACGGGGGCCCGCACAAGCGGUGGAGUAUGUGGUUUAAUUCGAUGCAACGCGAAGAACCUUACCAGGGUUUGACAUCCUGCGAAUCUCUUGGAAACGAGAGAGUGCCUUCGGGAACGCAGUGACAGGUGGUGCAUGGCUGUCGUCAGCUCGUGUCGUGAGAUGUUGGGUUAAGUCCCGCAACGAGCGCAACCCACGUCGUUAGUUGCCAGCAUUUAGUUGGGCACUCUAGCGAGACCGCCGGUGAUAAACCGGAGGAAGGUGUGGAUGACGUCAAGUCAUCAUGCCCCUUACAUCCUGGGCUACACACGUACUACAAUGCUACGGACAAAGGGCAGCAAACUCGCGAGAGCUAGCAAAUCCCAUAAACCGUGGCUCAGUUCAGAUCGUAGGCUGCAACUCGCCUACGUGAAGGAGGAAUCGCUAGUAAUCGCAGGUCAGCAUACUGCGGUGAAUACGUUCCCGGGCCUUGUACACACCGCCCGUCACACCAUGGAAGUUGGCCACGCCCGAAGCCGUUACUCCAACC
rnacentral:rRNA from 1 species